UACGGGGGGAGCAAGCGUUGUUCGGAUUUACUGGGCGUAAAGGGCGCGUAGGCGGUCAGCACAAGUCAGUUGUGAAAUCUCCGGGCUUAACUCGGAAAGGUCAACUGAUACUGUGCGACUAGAGUGCGGAAGGGGCAACUGGAAUUCUCGGUGUAGCGGUGAAAUGCGUAGAUAUCGAGAGGAACACCUGCGGCGAAGGCGGCUCUCUGGGACGGUACUGACGCUGAGACGCAAAAGCGUGGGGAGCGAACAGG
rnacentral:rRNA from 1 species